rnacentral:lncRNA from 1 species
UGAAAGUUGGCCAAUUGCUGACCAGCCUGCUCUCCCUACUCUAUAUAAGAACAGCUCUUGGCUUGCGGAUCUUCACAGCCUGAGGCAGAGGUCUGGACAAAUGAGCAACAGGACAGAACGUUCCAGCACCCACUGACUACAUCAGAGGCACAAAUAUUUGCUAAGACCAGGGGCCUCCCAGACAUGCUGGCAAGAUUGGGGAAAGCAAGUGUAUGGAGCCUCUCCCUCUGGGGCCAGACAAAGAAACUGAGGUCCACGAAAGGAAGAGAAUAUGCAAAAGGACUGGGAGAUGGGAGAUCCUGAAGUGGAGACAGGACCAGAGAGCUGACAUCCAACCAGUAGUCUCCCACCUGCACUGGCUCUGCAGCUCCCCUACUCAAGAACUUCCCUUGAGGGGCGCCUGGGUGGCUCAGUGGGUUAAAGCCUCUGCCUUCGGCUCAGGUCAUGAUCCCAGGGUCCUGGGAUCGAGCCCCGCAUCCGGCUCUCUGCUCAGCAGGGAGUCUGCUUUCUCAUCUCUCUCUGCCUGCCUCUCUGCUGACUUGUGC